AAAAGUUCCAGAUGCUGCUACAGAACUUGUGGACAUGCAUAGAACCUCAGCAGAAGCUCUUGUUGCACGUUCCUGAGUUCGGGUCCAAGCGAGUUCUAGCCCGUUCCCCACAAAACAGACUGCAGCCUCAUCUGAGUUGCACAUCCCGUCCUGCUUCAAACCAGACUGGUGAAUCCAACAGCUACCACAUGCACGCAAAUGCCACUGUAACACCGGUGACGCUCUCCCCUCGUGGGCAGAAAGCCAGCCGGCAGCAAGCAUCCCUGCAGUCAACAAAUGCCAUGAAGCAAGCAGACACUCCCAAAAAGAGCAAGACGUCCUCCAAAAACAAUGCCGAGGGGUCAUCUGCCGACCUGAGCAACUCUGCAGUGUCUGUUGAGAAGAUACUGGCAUCGUUCCAACCAAUUCUUCCCUGCAUAUCACCUCUACCAGACUUGGUAUGUCAUUUUAUAUAUUUCAUGCAAAUGCUUCUUUUAUUUACAACAAAACCUUUGCAUUGCGAUGCUAUUAUUUGGGGUAUGUCGUUUGCAAUCUCAAUUCUUUUCAAAUGUGUCACGCCAGUAAUUUGUACGUAAAGAUUCCACUGCAAGUUACCGUAUUUGCCAGACUUAUGUCUUGCAAUUAAUAAAACUGACAUGGGGUCCCCGGAAAGGGGGCUUAACAUUUAUGUUUUUUUAUAUUAAUGGUGGUCAGUGCUGUUACUUUGUUGUAAUUCUUCAAUUGAUUGUCAAUGCAAUAGUUGCUUAAGUAUAAUCAUAAUUAAUGAACAAUAUAUUUGAAAGGGAUCCACAGAAGGCGGUUUUUCUGCCGAUCCUUAAAAUCCAUUGACUCAUUAAUAAAAAAAUAAUAAUAGUAUCACACACAUCUGGGUAGCAGAACCAAUAGCACUCCUAUUCAGUUUUCAUUUGGCGAUGCUCAGAACAGAUUUGCCACCAGCCAGUAACAACACAGGGACAUAUUUUAUGUUCCAAAAUAAAUUUGAGCUUUUGUAAAGUUAUUAAAUUUCUUUCCUCACUGCACUGAUGCCUUAAGCCACAUAUGUCAAAAUCAAGGCCCGCGGUGGAAUUAUCUAUGGCCCGUAGGAUCAUUUUUAAUUACCGUACUCUUACAGCUGGCCCGCCGGUAUAUUGUACUUCAUAAAUAGCUGCUCUCCCUCAUCUGUCCACCAGGGGUCACACUGUGUAAGUGACAAUGAAAAUGCCUCGUCGACCAAACCUGCUUGUAUCGUGAUCAGUCUGGUCCCUCUCAAAGGGCCUCGAUGGUUUUAUCUUAUUUUACAAAUGACAUCCGCAUGUUCUGUUUUCUGUCUUGU
ensembl:lncRNA